CCCAUGACAACCUGAGAAGCAACAGAAACUUGAGGCAGAUUUUGGAGUAUACCACAUUUAUAUAUUUUGCACUUCAGAUGGGUCUUCUAAAGCUGUCUGUUUUGCCUGCAACCAGAUUUGUUAAUUUGUUCUGGAAGUUCUCCAGGACAAGAAACGGAACGCUGCAAUCUCAAAUGUCACCUGGGAGUUUCAUAAGGUGCAGGAACAGUGAACAGGCAUGACUUCUACCCAUCUCAAUUCCUUAACAGAUCCUAUACAAUCUCAGGCAUACUAUAUAGUCCCUCACAUCUCCCCUCUCUUACAUCCUUUCUGCAUUUGUCCAAAGGACAUUGCUCAUGUUUGCACAUUUCCCCGUAUGGAAUUACAGCUAGUAUAUAAAUGGAAAAUGAAUAUGCUCCUGCAGAGAGACACGCUGCUCUGAGAAUCAGCAGAGCAAGGACUGGUUCCUGGUGGGUGCUGGAAUAUUAUUCACUCGACACGCUGCAAAUACUGCUGUUAACAGACAAUAAUGCAUAAUUAGGGAGUUUCUGAAGUGUCAAUACUUUGUCCAAUUUAUGCACUCCUUGUUCUGUGUC